GAGAGCCGUAUGCAGGGAAACUUGCACGUACGGUUCGUAGGGGGGGGAGGUCGGAAAAAGUGGUAGUAAUACCAACUCGUCCGUCUUCUACCCGAC
rnacentral:ncRNA from 1 species